rnacentral:lncRNA from 1 species
CCUGGGUAGCCCCGGGGGCACUGGCUGCACGUCACCCUUGGCCUUGCCAGGGCCAGGCGUGAGCAGGUCACCCGUUGCCUCCUGUCCAGGCAGGUGUCAAAAAGAAGAGAGGGGGUGGCUGGGCAGCAGGCCUGGGCUGGACGGAGCACUGGGAACCUGUGUGGCCAUCACGUCUGUCUAGGUGGGCCAGGGCCUGUCCUGGCUUCAGUGGCCACCCCAGCCAUGUGCUAGGAGGAGGCACCAAGGGAAGGGGUUCCAGAGGAUCCGUCAGCCAAGACAGAGACUCAGGCUAGAGGUGGGCUCCUGGGGGGGUCUCCAGGUGGGGAGGCUCAGGCUGGGCUACCACCCUGUCUUGUCAGACUUGCUUUAUUUUUUUCCGUGUUGGGGAUUAAGCUGAGCCCAGGGCCUCACAUGCUACGCAAGUGCUCUCCCCGGAGCUACAUCCCCAGGACUUUUAUUUUUUAUUUUGAGAUAGGAUCUCACUAAGUUGCUGAGGCUGGCCUUGAACUUGUGAUCCUCCUGCCUUAGCCUCCCAAGUUGCUGGGAUUACAGGUGUGUGCCACCGCACCUGGAUUACUUGCUUUUAUAUUUUGGUUAAAUACACAACAUGAGGGGCUGGGGAUAAGCUCAGUUGGUAGAGUGCCUCCCUUGCGUGCACAAGGCCCUGGGUUCAGCCCCCAGCACCACACACACACACACACACACACACACACACACCAUGAAAGGCAUCCCUUAGCCAUCCUUAGCAGCACAGUUCCGCAGCAUUAAGCACCUGUGCAGCCCCUGCCACCCCCAUCCCCAGGUCUCCAUCCUCCCAGCUGAGGCUCAGUCCUGAGCACAGCUCCCCUCCCCUCCCAGUCUGGGCACCCCCACUCCGGGGACCUCCCGUGGGUGGGAUUGUGCGGAGCGUCGUCCUCAGGGCCCACCCACCAUGUAGCGGUGUUGGAGUCCUUUGGGGCUGAGUGACAUUCCACAGUGAGCCACAGCUCCUCUGCCCUUCAUGCAGCCAGGGCCACCUGGGUCACGCCCCACAGUGGCUCUCGUGAACAUGGGUGUGUGGGUGUCUCCCUGACCCCGUGGAGUGAGGGAGAGAAGUGUGGCUGCGGGCCGCGACCCUUUGCCUCCCCCACUCCCCACGCACCAGCUACCUCUGGCCGUCCUGCCCACUGCGGUGCUUUCCUGCUGGCCGUGGCUGGGGCCCUUCCCAGGGAGCUGCUCUUGGCCUCACGGUCGCUCGUGGUGGUCUUGCUGCCCACCCUGGACUCCUGUGGGGAGUGCAGGAGCCCCAGGGGCACCUCAUUCAUGUCUGGAGCAGUCGCUCUGGGCCGCCCUGAGCUGAACCUGGGAGGCCCCUGUGGACAUGAGGACAGCCCUGCCUCCUGCACCAGCAGAAAGGCAGAGGACAGGCCGCCGUGUGCGCUGGGCACUCCAAGGCCCGAGCCACAGCCCGUCUGCUGUGGACACAGCACUGUGUGGGCAGGACAGGGUCACCCCGGGGAUGGGCCACCAGGCCGGGGGCCUCUUCAGGACAGACCUGCCAGUCAGGGGCACCGUCAGGUCCUGCCCGUGCAUCCUGGACAGCUGCUCACAAGGCCUGAGGGAGGGCUGUGGACAGCUGAGCUGGCGCGGAUGUCUGCUUCUGACCCUGGUGGUUUGGGCCCGCGGGAGAGUGCUGGGUGACUGCUGCCGCCCGUCUGACCAACACAAGUGGGAGGACAGCAGCAGGUUUUCUCCGUGGCUUGUGAAGGCGCUUGCCCUGCGGCCACCAUGGGAGGCUUCAUGGCCAGGGAAAACCCAUCUGGGGUUGGAGCACCGUCGGCCAGCGGGGCCCAGUUCCAGAUCCAGCCCACGGCAUGCAUGGCUGAUUGACCUGGGACACUAUGAUGUGGGGGUGAGGAGCUGCAUGGUGUCUGCGGGACGUGUGGGGUGAGGGCCAUCAGACAGGCCCUGGUGUGUCAGGGAAGCGUGAGUUGAUUUCCUAGAACACACCAUAGCCCCAGGAGCGUCCAGGCCAAACGGGCUGACCCUCAGGUGGACGCUGUGCCCUACAGCUACCGGCAGCAGAGCCUGCAGGGGAGACAGGAGGGAGAAGGCUGCUGCUCUGGGCUGAGUCCUUACCUGGUUGCUGGCCUUGGUGCUGUGGCCACCCAGAGAGGCUUCGGACAGCUCUGCGGUACCACUCCCCACUGUCCACCUGGAGGUCAGAGGGGUCUUGGGGCCUAGAUGUUCUCAGGUAUGAAACCACAGGGUCCUGACCAGCAGGACCCCAGAUGAGCUCUGGGGCUACUAGCGUGGCACGUGAGGACCCUGGUCACCCUCC